GAUGAAGAACGUAGCGAAAUGCGAUAAGUAAUGUGAAUAGCAGAAUUCAGUGAAUCAUCGAAUCUUUGAACGCACAUUGCGCCCGCCAGCAUUCUGGCGGGCAUGCCUGUUCGAGCGUCAUUUCAACCCUCGAGCCCCCCCGGGGGCCUCGGUGUUGGGGGACGGCACACCAGCCGCCCCCGAAAUGCAGUGGCGACCCCGCCGCAGCCUCCCCUGCGUAGUAGCACACACCUCGCACCGGAGCGCGGAGGCGGUCACGCCGUAAAACGCCCAACUUUCUUAGAGUUGACCUCGGAUCAGGUAGGAAUACCCGCUGAACUUAAGCAUAUCAAUAAGCGGAGGA
rnacentral:misc_RNA from 1 species